UUUUUAUUAUCCUUUUUCUCUACUUCAGGGCUAGUUGUCAUGUUUGGACUUAGAGAUUUUUUUUCAAUGUUGAAACAAUACUCUAAAUUGUUUUACCAUGUAAAAGUUACUCGCGAGGAUGAACUUGCGUUUUUUGAAAGCGUUACUCUAAAUUUUUUUUACCAUGUAAAAUGGGUUGGGCAUUACUGUAAAUUUUUUGACCAUGUAAAAUUGGCUUGUGUGGACUUGGAGAAAUAUUUGCUGAAAUACAUACUGUAAAUUUUUUUACCUUGUAAAAUUUGCUCUGGGUGUUUCUAGUUACAGCCAAGGACCAUAUUUUUGUGUUACACUUUCAGCUUCUCAGCUAUAUAACACCUUCAACACAAGGAGAAAGUCCCCG
rnacentral:misc_RNA from 1 species